rnacentral:rRNA from 1 species
UACAGGGGGUGCAAACGUUGCUCGGAAUCAUUAGGCGUAAAGCGCACGUAGGCGGUUCGUUAUGUCGGAUGUGAAAGCCCUUGGCUUAACCGAGGAAGUGCAUCCGAAACUGGCGAGCUAGAGUACGAAAGAGGAUCGCGGAAUUCCCGGUGUAGUGGUGAAAUGCGUAGAGAUCCGGAGGAACCCCAGAGGCGAAGGCGGCCCCCUGGCUCGUACCUGACGCUCAGCCACGAAAGCAUGGGGAGCGAACGGG